UACGUAGGCAGCGAGCGUUGUUCGGAAUUACUGGGCGUAAAGAGUGUGUAGGCGGUGCUCUAAGUUCGGUGUGAAAUCUCCCGGCUUAACUGGGAGGGUGCGCCGGAAAUUGGAGUGCUUGAGCGUGGGAGAGGAAAGCGGAAUUCCUGGUGUAGCGGUGAAAUGCGUAGAUAUCAGGAGGAACACCUGUGGUGUAGACGGCUUUCUGGACCAUUGCUGACGCUGAGACACGAAAGCGUGGGUAGCAAACAGG
rnacentral:rRNA from 1 species